rnacentral:rRNA from 1 species
UACGUAGGGUGCAAGCGUUAAUCGGAAUUACUGGGCGUAAAGCGUGCGCAGGCGGCUUUGCAAGACAGAUGUGAAAUCCCCGGGCUUAACCUGGGAACUGCAUUUGUGACUGCAAGGCUGGAGUGCGGCAGAGGGGGAUGGGAAUUCCGCGUGUAGCAGUGAAAUGCGCAGAUAUCAGGAAGAACACCCGUGGCGAAGGCGGUUCUCUGGAACGCAACUGACGCUGAGACGCGAAAGCGUGGGGAGCAAACAGG